rnacentral:rRNA from 1 species
UACAGAGGUGGCAAGCGUUGUUCGGAAUUACUGGGCGUAAAGGGCGCGUAGGCGGUCUUGCAAGUCCUGUGUGAAAUCCCUCGGCUCAACUGAGGAACUGCACAGGAAACUGCUUGGCUUGAGUUCGGGAGAGGGAAGCGGAAUUCCGGGUGUAGCGGUGAAAUGCGUAGAUAUCCGGAGGAACACCGGUGGCGAAGGCGGUUCUCUGGAACGCAACUGACGCUGAGACGCGAAAGCGUGGGGAGCAAACAGG